rnacentral:lncRNA from 1 species
GGUGUGGCCGACGAGGACGCCUUCGAGGAAGAGUGCCGGCGACGGGGCCAGACGGCGCUGCCCGCCAGCACCAGCGCCCGCUUGCUGAGGCCACAGAAGCCAGCUUCCCUGCCCAAGCACGCGUCCCACUACACGUGUGAGGACGAGGACGAGCCCAGCAGGCCCCGCGCCACCAGCACCUGGGAGCCCCCCUCCGUGUUCUCCGCAGGAUUCAAAGAAGGUGGCAAGAGGAAGAAGCAGAAGCAGCGAGAGGAGUCGAAGAAGAAGAAGUCGACCAAGGGCCGCCCCUAGACGGGCGCGGAGCCGCGGGCGCCCGGGCACACGCCUUAGCCAGCGCACCUGCUCCCCGCCGCCCUAGCCCGCAGCUGCUCACGGCCCGCGCAGACCGGUCAGGCCGCGGGCGUGGCGGACCGCGGGGAAAGCCGCCCCGGCCCUGCUCCCCGGCCCUGCCCCCUCCUCCCACUCCCCCCUGCCCCCUGUGCCCUCGUGACGUCGCUUUGGUGGCCGUGUAGACGUGAGCGCGCACUGCCUUUGGCCGCCAGGUGCUUGCAUCUAGAAUCCAGGUAGCACAGGUGACCUUCUCUGCGGUGACCUGGCCGCGCAAGGGGGGCCCGGGUGAGCUGCUCCGGGUGUGAGGUCCCUCCCGGCUCUGUGCUUUUAGCUCCGAUCCUCUUCCUGGGGCCCGAAGCUGCAAGUAGCCCCUCUUUGCUCACAUCCGUCAUUAUCCUUUUGGGUAUGGACGCAGGCGUUGCCAGGUUUGGCCAGCAGCACCCCCUCCAGCUCUUGGUUUAGGGGGACGCUGGGGGAGGAGCCAAGCGCCCCCCACAGGAAGCCAGGUGCUGGGCGCACCGCUGAGCUGAGCAGGGAGCUGUUGGCCUCGGCUCCCGGGAGAGGCCCGUGCCUGGCCGCCCUCCGUGGGGUCGAUGCCCCAGCUCCGUGCUGCAGGCGGCUGCUGGCUGCUCUCGAGGUCCCCAGCCUGAGCACCUGCCCCUGUGGCCUUUCCCCGUGACCUCAGUCCCGCAGGGCAUUGGAGGGCAUGACAAGAGCUGCCCUGGGACCCGGGCAUUUGGGGCGCAGUCCUUGUGACAGCGCUGCGGGAGGGGAAGCCAGAAGCGAGGGUGACGCGCGUGAUUUUAAGCCAAUUAUUGCAGCUGCUCUUGAGCUGGUUGUAGUGGGAGGUGGUGUGGACUUGGACUUGGGUGAGGAGCCGACGGGGUUUAAUGCUUAUUGUGGAAAAUGCAGCCAUGAAAGCAUAACGGAUUUUAAGUGCUACCCACGUAAAUAAAGUGUCAGCGUUACCAUUG